rnacentral:rRNA from 1 species
UUGGAGGGCAAGUCUGGUGCCAGCAGCCGCGGUAAUUCCAGCUCCAAUAGCGUAUAUUAAAGUUGUUGCAGUUAAAAAGCUCGUAGUUGAAUUUCGGGAUCAAAUUGUUGGUCGUGCCUCGGUACGCACUGGUAUUAUUGGUUCCUACCUUCUGAAGAACCGCGAUGUCAUUAAUUUGGUGUCGUGGGGAAUCAGGACUGUUACUUUGAAAAAAUUAGAGUGUUUAAAGCAGGCUUACGCUUGAAUACAUUAGCAUGGAAUAGUGAAAUAGGACGUUUGAUUCCAUUUUGUUGGUUUCUAGGAUUGACGUAAUGAUUAAUAGGGAUAGUUGGGGGCAUUAGUAUUCAAUUGUCAGAGGUGAAAUUCUUGGAUUUAUUGAAGACUAACUACUGCGAAAGCAUUUGCCAAGGAUGUUUUCAUUAAUCAAGAACGAAAGUUAGGGGAUCGAAGACGAUCAGAUACCGUCGUAGUCUUAACCAUAAACUAUGCCGACUAGCGAUCGGAUGAUGUUAAUUUUUUAAUGACUCAUUCGGCGCCUUACGGGAAACCAAAGUGUUUGGGUUC